AGGGGAAGGAGAGAAGAGCUGGAGAGGAAGGGAAGGAGGAAGAUGAAGGGAGGUCUCUGGGAAGGCUUACAGUCCAGAGGGGGUGACGGGCUAUGCCUGCCUGUCUGCUCGUCUGUCAUCCAACGACUGGAUGCCAAUGUUACGCUGAGGGACACAGCAAAGAAGACAGGGACCCUGGCUUGCUAAAGCUCCACAUGAAACAGGAGGGGAUGAAACAAAGCAGAGGAUGAUUCAAGACGAAAUAAAACAGUGCCCCCCAGGGUGUGCCACAUCCUUCCUGGAAGGCUUCCUGGAGGCAAUAGACCUAGAGAGUACCAUGAAGAAUGGGUAGACUUUGAUGGGCCGAGGAGGAGGAAGGAGACCUUCUAAACCAGGGCAAAGGAGGAGGGACAAAACAGAGGUGGAGCAAAACAACCGCUCGUGCAGGGACAGGGAAGACCCUGCCUGGGGGACAAGAAACCCUAACCCUAAUGCUGUGGGAAACAAGGCUGGAGAAGUAAAAAGCAGGGCCCAAAUCGGAGGUGGGCUUCAAGCACCAAGAAGAGAAUACUAGUCGUUGGAGGAUUUCGAGGGCAGAAUUAUAUGGUGGGAAGAUCACUGAACUUGGAAUUACAAACCCUGGGCUCGAGACCACCUUCUUUCCUUGCUAGCUAUAUGACUUUAGGUCAUCUGGGUAGCUCAGUGAUUAGAGUACCGGGUCUGGAGUUCAAAUCCAGCCUCAGACACUUGCUAGCUGUGUGAC